AACGUAGGACACAAGCGUUAUCCGGAGUUACUGGGCGUAAAGGGCGUGUAGGCGGACGUGUAAGUCUAUUCUGAAAGCUCCUGGCUAAACUGGAAAAUUGCAUCGGAAACUGCUCGGCUUGAAGGUGGGAGAGGGUAGCGGAAUUCCCGGUGUAGUGGUGAAAUGCGUAGAUAUCGGGAGGAACACCGGUGGCGAAGGCGGGUCUCUGGGCCGAAAUUGACGCUGAGGAGCGAAAGCGUGGGGAGCAAACAGG
rnacentral:rRNA from 1 species